ACCUUCCUCAGCAGAUGGUAAAGCAUCUGCCUGCAAUGCAGAAGACCUGGGUUCAAUCCCUGGGUAGGGA
rnacentral:tRNA from 1 species